AUUGAACGCUGGCGGCAUGCCUUACACAUGCAAGUCGAACGGUAACAGGUCUUCGGAUGCUGACGAGUGGCGAACGGGUGAGUAAUACAUCGGAACGUGCCCGAUCGUGGGGGAUAACGGAGCGAAAGCUUUGCUAAUACCGCAUACGAUCUACGGAUGAAAGCAGGGGACCGCAAGGCCCUGCGCGGACGGAGCGGCCGAUGGCAGAUUAGGUAGUUGGUGGGAUAAAAGCUUACCAAGCCGACGAUCUGUAGCUGGUCUGAGAGGACGACCAGCCACACUGGGACUGAGACACGGCCCAGACUCCUACGGGAGGCAGCAGUGGGGAAUUUUGGACAAUGGGCGCAAGCCUGAUCCAGCCAUGCCGCGUGCAGGAUGAAGGCCUUCGGGUUGUAAACUGCUUUUGUACGGAACGAAACGGCUCCUUCUAAUAAAGGGGGCUAAUGACGGUACCGUAAGAAUAAGCACCGGCUAACUACGUGCCAGCCGCCGCCGUAAUAC
rnacentral:rRNA from 1 species